AUACUUAAAUACCUCAAAGUUUCCUGAUUUUCUGGGAAGGCCUGGUUUCCCCCAAAGAGGCGAUUUCUGGUAGAAAUCUGAGAGUCCUCUAAUAAAAAAGAAAUCCAGUAUAGCCAAUGAAUUAAGGACAAGAAGGUUUCCAAUCAGUCCCUGCUAUGUGGAUAUUUGUUAGCAAUGACUGAUGUGGAAACUACAUAUGCAGAUUUUAUUGCUUCGGGAAGAACCGGUAGAAGAAAUGCAAUACAUGAUAUCCUGGUUUCCUCUGCAAGUGGCAACAGCAAUGAAUUAGCCUUGAAAUUAGCAGGUCUUGAUAUCAACAAGACAGAAGGUGAAGAAGAUGCACAGCGGAGUUCGACAGAACAAAGUGGGGAAGCCCAGGGAGAAGCAGCAAAAUCUGAAAGCUAACAUCCCACCUUGACCUUCAACAACACCUGAUGAUGUCUCAAAUCUCCAGGCGUGGCUGGAAUGCUUUUGUUUCCAUGAGUGAAAAGGGGGAAAGGAAAAUGGCUGUGCUGCAUCGCAGGAACCUGCCCGUUAUGUUAAAAAUGGGGGCAGAGGCUGUGGCUACAGACAGACUUUUCUCUACCUCUGUCAUUAGCAAUGGUUGAAAUCAUGUGGCCUGUGCUUGGAUGUCAUUUUUGUUUGGAUCCUUUCACAUGACCAUAUGAUGAAAUGCUUGUAGAGAGUAGCACUGACCUAGAUGAUGAUUCUUCCUGUAGCAUCUGGCCCUCACAAUGUCAGAGGAUUUAAUUGUGUCUAAUUGCGGAGGGUUGGUUGAACCCCAGAGUUUAAAUAUCUCUGGCUCAAGUAUUCACCCAGUAAAAGAACCAUCCAGAAAGCACUGUUUUUAGCUUUGUGUACCUGUGUGUUGCUGCUGUGUUAUUUACACUGUUUUGUAUUGUACAAUAUAGAUGCUCAGCACUGCCCCCCUUCUCGGAUUGCUUACGAAAAACAAAAAUGAUGUACAUUACUGUGAAUUUUUAUACCACUCAUUUUUAAAAGGGCUGUCUUGUUUUUAAUUUUCCAUAGUGUGGUGGUGUACACAAGAUAGAACACACUUCUUAAAUGUAAUCUUUCCCAUCGAUCACUAUAUGUUGAUGAAUGAAGUCUAACAAAUUCAUCAAGACUUCUUUGCUUUAUUAUACAGCCAUUCGAAAAUAUCCAUUAAUGUGAAUAUUACCUGAAUUCGGUCUGUUUGGUGUCUGCACAGACCAGAAUUCAAUCUGUCAAUUUUGUUUUAUUCCCAAGUGGACAACUUCUCCCAACUAAUAUUUUUGUUUUUAAUUAUGAGAAUUUUGGAGAAUUAGGAAGGUAAAAAAGAAAAGCCAAGAUAAUACUAAGAACUAGAAAUAUCUUGUACUAUGGAAUCAAAUUUCUCACAAUGCUAUAUGCUACUAUUUAAAUUUGGAGGGCAGCAUACCUUCCCAGGAGGUAUUUUUCAGGCUGAAAAGAUGGAGAUAGUGAUCACCUUGCAAUCAUGUGGACACCAAUCACAAAAGUAAAGCCCUUGUGUUGUGUUUUUCAUGUCUAUUUUCAGCCCUAUGAGAUCUAAAUGUUAUUAUGCAUUUUUUAAUGUUUGUAAACUUUUACUAAUAAUUAGUGUGAAUUGCAUUCUGAUACAAUAAUUAUCAUCAUUAGAAGCUAACAAAAUCCUCAUUAAUAUGGUGUUUGAUGGCCUCUGCUGUGUUUUGACAUCAUGGUUCUUAUAUGGAAAGUUUUUGUGAGUUGUGUAAUCCCUCCGGUCAGUAUUAUGAAAUCAUUUGUCAGUGGUAAUAAAUAAGGAACCAGUAAUAUGCCAGUGGUUCAUGAAUUACUGGACAAAUAGCGGACAACAGGAAGUCUCUACAAUAAAGAGCCCACUUAGCUGUCCUUGAGGGCUUUGAUAGAGUCCCGGGUGAAAUAAGUAGAGCCAGAAUUUCAACAGGCAAUCUAUGUGGUUAUACCAGGAACUAAGUAAGCCCUUCUUUGUAUUAAUAAUUCCAUAUUGGAUGAAAGGUAAGUCUGCUCACAUCUCCCUUUACAAAACUUUUCAACUGACCGGGAUAAGGGCAUGGGUCUCAUUUAGCCCUCAAUGAGAUAUUACUAGAAGAAAAUGUUAACCAUGUGAGUCUUUCCGAGAACAGAAAGAGGAAAUAUUAGAUUUUGGAGUGCUUCUUUCUACCUGAGCCAUCAGGGGUCAAAAAUCUCCAGUUAAAAUUCAAACAAAUCACCCAUUAGUAGAUUCACAAGUAUAAAAGAGGUCCCUGGGGCUAUUUUAGAUAAAUCCCUGGUAGUCUGUUUUUAAACAUCCAACCCCUGUGAUCAGUUUUCAGUAUCCUCAUUUACUAUCUUCUUAGCUUUCGUGUGAAUCUAAAGCUCUCUUCUUUCCUAAAGUUGUGGAAUUCUAAACUGAUUUUAUGUGAUUUUGUAAAGUUUAGAACCAGUGCUGAGUAUAUGUGGGGGUUUAUAUUCAUAUGUGAUACACUAUUAUUAAUGCAUGUGGUACCAUGCUUGUCUUUGAAUAUGUAAAUAGUGCUAAAUUACAAAGUCAUAUGGAGCUUUUGGUUUAGUUUGGCCUCUUACUGCUACCUUGUCUGCUAUAUUCAAACCGAGAGGCAUUCCCAAGCUGGGAAUCGCUUGUGGAAUAUAGGAUGUGGACUUCCCAAAAUGUCCACAUCUUAUAAAUUUUGCUUUUCAAGAGGUCACAGUUCUUUCAAAUUUUACUGUAAUAACUUUUAUUUGUAAAUCAAUAAUAUGAAUGAAUCUGAAUGUUUAAGAAGAGAAGGAAAGGGUAGGAAAUCCAAGACUUGGUUUGAUAAUAGACACUGGAUGCCUAUUAACCAACUACCCCUGUGCUAAUCACCUCAUAGCACAUAUUCUACCAUUCAAUCCUCAAACAAUUCAAUUACAGUGGUAUCUUUAUACCAUUUUACAGAUUAUGAAAUCAGCACCCAAAACGGCAUAACUUUUCCAAGAUUAAAAAGCUAAUAAGUAAUGAAUUUAGGAUUUGCACUUAUGUUUGUUUGUCUCCAAGAAGCUUUCUACCGUGCAUAUCAUAAAAUUAAAGCCAAUUGCAGAACUAACUGUAAGGGAACUUCUAGAAAUGGAUUUGUUCAGCCUCAAUAUUUUAGAGAAAGAAACUAAAUCCCAGAAAAGGAAAUUGCCUUUCUCAAGGUUGCCUAUAUGGGUAAUAACAUAGAUGAAACUAGAUCAUAAAAAAAUGUAGUAGUUUUCUUAAAAAAGAAAUUCAAUUAUAACUUACUGGAGGAGAGGAGUAUUUGUCCCAGAAGAUAUUUUUCUGGCAUAUGGUCUGUAAACUUAGCAUGAUUCAUAUUUUUUUUAUGUUUCAUGCUACUUAUUUUGUUUAAUUGCAUAGAAACAUUAAGAUUUCAGUUUCUUGACUCAUUUGCAACAAGCGUGAAAUUGUCAAGUUUAUCUUUUGUCAAUUGUAAGCAUCCUAUGCCAUCAUUUUGUUAUCAUAAAUUCACAGAAAUAUUUUUCCAGUAGGUAACAGACAUUGCAAUCCAAUUCUUAGGCGAUACUUCCAGAACAGGCCGCUGUAAAUGCCCUAUACUUGAGUCUCACUCAGACACAGUGGCAACGCGCCAUGUUAGGAGAUGAACAAUAUUGCAGUUUCUCUUUGGAGAAACAAUAAUGGGUGAAGACAUGUAACUGCCAGGCAGCAAAGCUUCUGAGUGAACUCUGUAGUAGUAGAGAGAAAAUGUAUAGUCAUCAAGUGAAAAUAGGAAAGGAUCUAUGAUUUAUGAUGUCUUAUUAGUCCCUAAAUUAUGCUUUAAUUGCAAGAGUGGCAGUCUCUGAAGUCAUUUGUGAGCUUGUAUGACUUUUGUAUUUAGCAAUGUUGCAUGCUCACAUAAUUGGUAUUAAAAGUAACACAUUUUUCUGAAAUGUA